rnacentral:hammerhead_ribozyme from 1 species
GCACUGCUGAUGAGACCAAACUAGGUCGAAACACCUGUGCAGUGC